rnacentral:rRNA from 1 species
GACAGAGGGUGCAAACGUUGUUCGGAAUUACUGGGCGUAAAGCGCUUGUAGGCGGCUAAGCAAGUCGGGCGUGAAAUCCCACGGCUCAACCGUGGAAGUGCACUCGAAACUGCAUAGCUAGAGUCCUGGAGAGGAAGGUGGAAUGCUUGGUGUAGAGGUGAAAUUCGUAGAUAUCAAGCGGAACACCGGUGGCGAAGGCGGCCUUCUGGACAGUGACUGACGCUGAGACGCGAAAGCGUGGGGAGCAAACAGG